AGAGUUUGAUCCUGGCUCAGGACGAACGCUGGCGGCGUGCCUAACACAUGCAAGUCGAACGGAGAAUUUCAAAGAGUUUACUCGGAGAAAUUUUUAGUGGCGGACGGGUGAGUAACGCGUGGGUAACCUACCCAUAAAGCCGGGACAACCCUUGGAAACGAGGGCUAAUACCGGAUAAUCUUAGAUCUUGGCAUCAAGGUUUAAGGAAAGGUGGCCUCUGAAAAUGCUACCGAUUAUGGAUGGACCCGCGUCUGAUUAGCUAGUUGGUGGGGUAAAGGCCUACCAAGGCGACGAUCAGUAGCCGGCCUGAGAGGGUGAACGGCCACACUGGGACUGAGACACGGCCCAGACUCCUACGGGAGGCAGCAGUGGGGUUCUUCCUCUGUGGACGAAAGUCUGACGGAGCAACGCCGCGUGUAUGAUGAAGGUCUUCGGAUUGUAAAGU
rnacentral:rRNA from 1 species